rnacentral:rRNA from 1 species
CUACGGGCGGCACCAGUGAGGAAUAUUGCACAAUGGGGGGAACCCUGAUGCAGCAACGCCGCGUGGAGGAUGACGCAUUUCGGUGUGUAAACUCCUUUUAUAUGUCAAGAAAAUGACGGUAGCAUAUGAAUAAGCACCGGCUAACUCCGUGCCAGCAGCCGCGGGAAUACGGAGGGUGCAAGCGUUACUCGGAAUCACUGGGCGUAAAGGACGCGUAGGCGGGUUGGAAAGUCAGGUGUGAAAUCCUACAGCUUAACUGUAGAACUGCACUUGAAACUUCUAAUCUAGAGUAUGGGGGGGGAGAUGGAAUUAGUGGUGUAGGGGUAAAAUCCGUAGAUAUCACUAGGAAUACCUAAAGCGAAGGCGAUCUCCUGGAACAUUACUGACGCUAAGGCGUGAAAGCGUGGGGAGCAAACAGGAUUAGAUACCCGCGUAGUC